GGUCACAUGUUACUUUCGCCCAAUUAGCUUUCAGAAAGUGCUGUUCAGGUGUGUGUGUAGUCAUUUCUGCUCCUCAGCGAGGAGAGUUGGAGCGAAGCGUCGCUGAAUUGCAGAACCAAGCAGCAGUGUUGGUGUUCUCUCAGGAAGGACCUGUUCUUGUAUCACUGCCAUAUACACAGGAUCGAAGACUCUAAAGCAACUAUGCCUCCUCCCCUGCGCCACCGCUCCAUGCGUAUCUUCAUGAACGAUGACCGCCACGUGAUGGCCAAGCACUCCGCUGUGUACCCCACACAGGAGGAGCUGGAGGGUGUGCAGAACAUGGUGUCCCACACGGAGCGCGCCCUCAAGGCUGUCUCUGACUGGCUGGACGAGCAGGAAAAGGUGGUCAAGUCUGCACCAGACGGAACCGAUUCCGAUAAAGAAAGUGAGCCCAAGGUGUCGGAACAGGCCACACGGUCCCUGCGUGGGGUGAUGAGGGUGGGCCUGGUGGCCAAGGGCUUGCUGCUGAAGGGGGACCUGGACCUGGAGCUGGUCCUUCUGUGUAAGGACAAACCCACCAUCACCCUGCUGAAGAACGUGGCAGAUAACCUGGCUGUGCAACUCAAGACCAUCACAGAGGACAAGUAUGAGGUCACUCAGGUCAUCCGUGAAGCCACCAUCGUAAUCAAGAGCACCAAGGAGCCUCCCCUGACCCUGACUAUCAACAUGACGUCCCCCCUGGUCCGCGAGGAGGUGGAGAAACAGGCUGCCGGAGAAACGCUAUCAGUCAACGAUCCACCGGAUGUUCUGGACAGGCAGAAAUGCCUUACUGCCUUGGCGUCUCUUCGCCACGCCAAGUGGUUCCAGGCCAGGGCCAACGGGCUGAGGUCCUGCGUCAUUGUCAUCCGCAUCCUGAGGGACCUGUGCUCCCGCGUCCCCACUUGGGCCCCACUGCAUGGAUGGCCAAUAGAGCUGCUGUGUGAGAAGGCAAUUGGCACAGGGAACCGGCCAAUGGGGGCAGGAGAGGCUCUGCGAAGAGUUUUGGAGUGUCUGGCUUCUGGAAUCCUCAUGGCUGAUGGUGCUGGAAUCUGUGAUCCAUGUGAGAAGGAGCUGACAGAUGCUAUUGGCCACCUGGACCUCCAGCAGAGGGAGGACCUCACACAGAGUGCCCAGCAUGCCUUAAGGCUGUCUGCCUUCGGACAGCUUCACAAAGUUCUAGGGAUGGACCCCCUUCCUUCCAAAAUGCCCCGGAAACCCAGGAGCGAGACCCCCAUUGACUAUACAGUCCAAAUCCCCCCCAGUACAACCUACGCCCCACCAAUGAAGAGGCCUAUCGAGGAGGAGGAAGGAGGGGAGGACAAAAGUCCAAACAAGAAAAAAAAGAAGCUGCAAAAGAAAUCCCCAGAUGAGAAGUCGGAGCCUCCCCAGGCCAUGAAUGCUCUGAUGAGGCUGAACCAGCUGAAGCCUGGCCUGCAGUAUAAACUCCUCUCCCAAACUGGCCCGGUGCACGUACCAGUCUUCACCAUGGCUGUGGAAGUGGACGGCAAGAGCUUUGAAGCCUCAGGCCCAUCCAAACGCACUGCCAAGCUUCACGUUGCUGUCAAGGUCCUCCAGGAUAUGGGCCUCCCCACAGGUGUGGAGCUGAAGACUGCUGAGCCAGUGAAGACUGAGGUGGCAACGGCCAUUGUGGAGGAGGUGAAACCCUGCAUCACUCCCAUCGCAAUGGACACCGCAGCCACAGGGGCGGACAGCGUGGAGGCCACAGACGGUGCAGAGAGUGCUCGUCAACAGGGACCAAUCCUGACCAAACAUGGGAAGAACCCUGUGAUGGAGCUAAACGAGAAGCGGCGCGGCCUCAAGUAUGAGCUCAUCUCAGAGACCGGAGGCAGCCACGACAAACGCUUCGUCAUGGAGGUGGAGAUAGACGAACAGAAGUUCCAAGGGACUGGAUCCAAUAAGAAGGUGGCCAAGGCCUAUGCUGCCUUGGCAGCCCUGGACAAACUCUUCCCAGAGGGCUCUGUGACUGAGGCAGCCAAGAAGAAGAAACUCCCAAUGCAUGGGUUUGGCAUGAUGGGUGACCCGACUGGUGACCCGGCAGCCACUCCCAGGGGCAGAGGUAGAGGGCGUGGCAGGGGGAGGGGCCGAGGGUUCAAUAAUGGUGGCAGCUAUGGUCAAGGUGGCUAUGGAAGUUAUGGAUAUGGGAACAAUGGAAACUCUGGUGGCUAUAGUGACUUUGUCUCAGACUGCUAUGGCUACCACGAGUUUGCGACAUAGAUCAUCCCAAUCUUUUAAAUCAAAACAAAAUGUAGAGAAAGAGGAGCAAACUAUAGUGUUCCUGCAACAUGAACUCCAAUCACUCCCCUGGGAAAAAACUCCCUUUGCUUAACCGCUACGACUCAUGUCCCAACGCCUAGAGAGAUGGGAGGCCAGUGAGUGCUUGUUGCCUUUGGUCACCUUCCAUACCCUCUGCCAACCCUGGGACGUACCUGGACACCUGGAUAUGCCAAAAGCCACAGGCACACUUUCCCAAUAGACUGCCUUCCUUAGUGGAAUUGAGACCAGAGCAUUAUGGUUGGCUGAUGGAUAAUGGCCCACUGUGAUGACAUGCACAUUGGAGUGGGUCAGACUGGGGAGAUUGAUCCCAUUGUGGCCAUCUGUCUUGAAUGUCUACACACACAAAAAAGUUAUUUCUUAUGUGAACGGUCUUAUUUCAUUUUGUUGUCUGAAAAUGUAUUAUCAAUCACCUCAUUGUCAAUGUUUUUAUUUUAUUUAGCAUCUUGUUAUGAGAACAUGAGGCUGCUUUGAAUAUUUGCAGUUUUUUUAUUAAAAUGUCAGAAUUGCUAAAUUGUGGCUAUUGAUGCAUGAUGGUGGUUACAUGCUAGUCUUACUUUGAAAAUGAUAACGUUCACAAUGCCCCUCAUUUACCUCACACGUGAGGCACCUUUAGGCAUGAAAGAACCACAGCGUUGUUGAUACUUGCACAAGACUGAUUUUGACAUUCUGCGUUAUGAUUGUGAAGUAAAAAUAGUCUUGUAUGUUUUUAAAAAAUAAAUGUGAUAUCCCAUACAAUAAUGUGGUACUACAAUUUUAGUGAAACACUUCACUUUCUUGAAAAUGCAAUGUAUUAAUCUUCACAAGCAUGGGUGUGACAGCAGUAGAACUCUACAAAACCCCCUCUUAAUUUCAUGCCUCUUUCUUUUAGAUUAUUACAAUAGUGGAGCAAAUGGUGGGGCUGCGGCUGCUGGCACCGUUACUGAAGUCGCUGCGGCCAGCACUACAGGCGUGACAGCUACAGGAACCUAUGGUUCAUACUACCAGAAUGAUGGGGGCUACUCCACCCCAUCUCCAGCUCCCAAAGCCCCUGUCAAAAAGGAGGCCAAGUCUACCUUCCCUGGACCGCCAGGUGUUGGUGGGGGGGCCCAAGGGGCCUACCAGACCACCCCUGGCCAGAGUGCCUAUAACCAGUAUGGCCAGGGCUAUGGGCAAGGCAAUAAGACCUUCAAUCAAAACCAGGCAGGAGUUUAUCCUUACAGCACUGCCUACCCCAGCCAGGUGACAGGCAGCACUGUUGCCAGCCAAGACUACAGUUACGACGGUUACGGAAAUCAGUCAAAUUACAACGCACAGGCAGGAGCCAACCAGAGCUAUGGUGCAAAUCCAGCACCAUACCACAACCCAGUAGGAUACGGCAGGGGAGACCCCACCGUGAACUACCAGUACAGAUAGACUGAAUCCGCUCUCUGCAUACUCCCAACUGAGCCCCACAGUACCACCCCACAACCCUGUCACAAGUGUUCUCCAAAGAAGCGAUGGUGGCUGUUCUGUGAUCCAUGGUUUUUCCAUGUCUAAGUGCAUUUUGGUUAUUUAAAAAAAAAAGUAAUAAACUGGACUUAUUAGUUGGCAGCUCCCCACAGCUGUAUCAAAUGGUCUUUCAUCAGUUUGGUCAGUGUUCAAGCUUGUAUUUUAUUUGUAUGCACUCUACCAAUUUCCCCUCCCCCAUAUCACUACCACCCAAAAAGAGGGAAUGACACACCACUUCUUUUUUUUUUCCCAGCUAUGAUUUUAUUUCUGUCAAUACACAAACAGUUAACUAUGUUGACCACUAGUUGUUUUUGGCUGAUUUGUUUAAAUUUUCAUUUUACAAUACAAUGGGCCUGGAGAACUGCUUGCUUGUUGACGUAUUUGCUUGUAAUUUUAGACAUUUAUUUUUCAAUGUUUUAGUUGACGUAUUUCUGUAGUUUUAACUCCAACAAAUAAUUUUGGAAAUGACUAGGAAGAGAUUUUUAAAUGUCAAUUACAUUUCUGGUCAAAGUAGAUUUGGUGGUUGGGAUGAUUUAAUUUUUUCUCAGAACUGUGUAUAAGAAAGUGGUGUUUGUAUCAAUAAAGGACUUUUAUUUUGGAGGAAAGUAA